rnacentral:rRNA from 1 species
UCCGAAAGAGAGCCGUAACACAGGUGCUGCAUGGCUGUCGUCAGCUCGUGUCGUGAGAUGUUGGGUUAAGUCCCGCAAUGAGCGCAACCCUUGUCAUUAGUUGCUACAUUCAGUUGGGCACUCUAGUGAGACUGCCGGUGACAAGCCGGAGGAAGGUGGGGAUGACGUCAAGUCCUCAUGGCCCUUAUAGGUGGGGCUACACACGUCAUACAAUGGCUGGUACAAAGGGUUGCCAACCCGCGAGGGGGAGCCAAUCCCACAAAGCCGGUCGUAGUCCGGAUCGCAGUCUGCAACUCGACUGCGUGAAGUCGGAAUCGCUAGUAAUCGCGGAUCAGCAUGUCGCGGUGAAUACGUUCCCGGGUCUU